rnacentral:lncRNA from 10 species
CUUUCCUCAACUUCUUUUAUAAAAGCAAAUGCCAGCCUGGACAACGGGGUGAAACCCCAUCUCUACAAAAAAUUAAAGAAAUUAGCUGGGCAUGGUGGCAUGAGCCUGUGGCCCCAGUUCCUUGAGAGGCUGAUGUGGGAGGACUGCUUGAGCCCAGGAGGUUGAGGCUGCAGUGAACAGUGAUUGCACUACUGCACUCCAGCCUGGGUGGCAGAGCGAGGUCUCCUCUCAAGCAAGUGACUUACUGAUUAAAAUUCUUCAGCAACAAUUAAUUGAUUAUGCUACUAAGGAAAAGUCCUUAAAUAUGUAUUUUAUUAGGAACAUGCCUCUAAUGCCAGAAAGCAGAAUCAGACAAGAAAGUAAAUUCAAGGAGUACUAAAUUCUAAGGCUAUAUAAAUUAAGUAGGAAAAACACUUAUCUAAAUGUUUUUAAACAAAAGAGAUAAGGAUUAAGAACAAUUAUUAAAAUUUUAAUUAAGUCAAACAGAAAACUUUCUAAGUUAAAUAUUUAACAUACACAUCAUUAUUGAUAGACUAUAGGCAAGAAGAAUAAAGUAAUGUCAACUACAGCUCAAUUCUUUACACCUAGAAAAUGAG